GCCGGGGUUUCCUAGCCAGGUAAGGAGCAGGCCUGCUAAGUCUGUGGCCCUCUGGGCCUCGUGGGUUCAAAUCCCACCCCCGGCGCCA
rnacentral:tRNA from 1 species